rnacentral:tRNA from 1 species
GCCUCUGUCGUCUAGCCUGGCAGGACAUAGGUUUCAUAAGCCUAGAAUCGACGGUUCAAAUCCGCCCAGAGGCA